rnacentral:rRNA from 1 species
GGAGCACGCCGCGUGAGUGAUGAAGGUUUUCGGAUCGUAAAACUCUGUUGUUAGGGAAGAACAAGUACCGUUCGAAUAGGGCGGUACCUUGACGGUACCUAACCAGAAAGCCACGGCUAACUACGUGCCAGCAGCCGCGGUAAUACGUAGGUGGCAAGCGUUGUCCGGAAUUAUUGGGCGUAAAGCGCGCGCAGGCGGUUUCUUAAGUCUGAUGUGAAAGCCCCCGGCUCAACCGGGGAGGGUCAUUGGAAACUGGGGAACUUGAGUGCAGAAGAGGAGAGUGGAAUUCCACGUGUAGCGGUGAAAUGCGUAGAGAUGUGGAGGAACACCAGUGGCGAAGGCGACUCUCUGGUCUGUAACUGACGCUGAGGCGCGAAAGCGUGGGGAGCGAACAGGAUUAGAUACCCUGGUAGUCCACGCCGUAAACGAUGAGUGCUAAGUGUUAGAGGGUUUCCGCCCUUUAGUGCUGCAGCAAACGCAUUAAGCACUCCGCCUGGGGAGUACGGUCGCAAGACUGAAACUCAAAGGAAUUGACGGGGGCCCGCACAAGCGGUGGAGCAUGUGGUUUAAUUCGAAGCAACGCGAAGAACCUUACCAGGUCUUGACAUCCUCUGACAACCCUAGAGAUAGGGCUUCCCCUUCGGGGGCAGA